UAUCUACUCCCUCCGUUCCACAAUACGUAUCUUCCAUUUGUCAAAAUAUAGAUGUAUUUAGACAUGUUUUAGUAUAUAGGUACAUCCAUUUUUGACAAAUGAAAGUCAAAGUAUUUUGGAACGAAGGGAGCAGUAG
rnacentral:pre_miRNA from 1 species